rnacentral:rRNA from 1 species
UACAGAGGUCUCAAGCGUUGUUCGGAUUCAUUGGGCGUAAAGGGUGCGUAGGCGGCGCGGUAAGUCGGGUGUGAAAUCUCGGAGCUUAACUCCGAAACUGCAUUCGAUACUGCCGUGCUUGAGGACUGGAGAGGAGACUGGAAUUUACGGUGUAGCGGUGAAAUGCGCAGAUAUCAGGAAGAACACCCGUGGCGAAGGCGGCUCUCUGGUACGUGACUGACGCUGAGACGCGAAAGCGUGGGGAGCGAACAGG